GAUGAACGCUGGCGGCAUGCCUAACACAUGCAAGUUGAACGAGAAGUUCCGGAACGAGUCUUCGGAUGAGGGAAGGGAUGGAAAGUAGCGAACGGGUGAGUAACGCGUGGGCAACCAACCUUACACAGGGGGAUAACACAGAGAAAUUUGUGCUAAUACCGCAUAAGCGCACAGGAUCACAUGAUCUGGUGUGAAAAACUCCGGUGGUGUAAGACGGGCCCGCGUCUGAUUAGCUAGUUGGUGAGGUAAAGGCUCACCAAGGCGACGAUCAGUAGCCGACCUGAGAGGGUGAUCGGCCACAUUGGGACUGAGACACGGCCCAAACACCUACGGGAGGCAGCAGUGGGGGAUAUUGCACAAUGGAGGGAACUCUGAUGCAGCAAUGCCGCGUGAAGGAAGAAGGUUUUCGGAUUGUAAACUUCUAUCAGCAGGGAAGAAAAUGA
rnacentral:rRNA from 1 species